rnacentral:rRNA from 1 species
ACGGAAGGCAGCAGUGGGGAAUAUUGGGCAAUGGGCGAAAGCCUGACCCAGCGACGCCGCGUGAAGGAAGAAGGUCUUCGGAUUGUAAACUUUUGUCAUCGGGGAAGAAGAAAGUGACGGUACCCGAUAAGAAAGCCACGGCUAACUACGUGCCAGCAGCCGCGGUAAUACGUAGGUGGCGAGCGUUAUCCGGAUUUACUGGGUGUAAAGGGUGUGUAGGCGGACCGACAAGUCAGGUGUGAAAUCCAUUGGCUUAACCAAUGAACUGCACUUGAAACUGUAGGCCUUGAGAGUCGGAGAGGUAAGCGGAAUUCCUAGUGUAGCGGUGAAAUGCGUAGAUAUUAGGAGGAACACCAGUGGCGAAGGCGGCUUACUGGACGACAACUGACGCUGAGACACGAAAGCGUGGGGAGCAAACAGGAUUAGAUACCCUGGUA